CCUCCGACAUCCGUGAGAUCUCUUUCCAUACUUAGCCACCUAGGGAUUUCGCUGUGAUCCUCUCGCACGGCUCUCCAUCCUCCAUCUAUAAAAGGUCACUCCCCCUCCCAUUGAAAAGGUAUAACGAAUCACUUGUAUACUCACUUUGGAAGUUCUUUCUGACUCUAUCCAGGUCCUACCAGGGCCUUAUACAAUAAUUAAAACUUGUCUAGUCUACCAAAACAGUGAAAACAAUGCUGAUUAGCAUGAGAAACAACAUUGUGCUUUUGGACAUAUGUUGUGCAAGCAAUUCAACUUGGAUGGACUAAAAAAAGGUUGACCACCGCGCAUUACCUGCUGCCCUGCCCUGCCCAUCGACCUUCUCUGGCUACGGUUAGGAUUUCAAUCUAGGAAUAGGUUUUGGAAUGGGAGAUAAUUAAGUAGGGAUGGCAACGGUGGCGGAUUGGGGAGGGUUCGGCCUACCCCCACCCCCGCCCCUUUAAUAUUUUUUUAAUUAUAUAUUUUUUUUAUAUAAUAUUGGUAUUAUAUAAUAUAGUAAGGAUAUAUGGUAUAUUUUUAAAAAAAUAUGGAUAAUUUUAAUUUUUUUAUAAUAAUACUCGGGAAUCUGGCCGAGUUCGGGUGAGGAGGCUAAACCCUCGGGGGGGGGGGCCCCGGCCCCGAUUAUUAAUUGGGUUUUAAUUUUCCUCCAACUCCUCCUAAACGGGGCGGGACCCGACGGGUAUCGAGUUUUUCGGGUCAAAUUGCCAUCCCUAUAAUUAAGAGAGAGAUAGAGAGAACAAAGAAAGAAGAAUGAGGGAUGUAGAGGCGCGUGUGGCAAGGAUGAGUUGGGAACUUGGCAGGGGUGUGGUUGGCUCUUGGCUGACAAGGGACUAGGAGUGGCAGUGAAAGUUGGAGAAAGGAUGGGAGGGUCCGGGGAUGGCAGUAGAAGCUAAGCCACGGUGGUGGCCACUAGGGUGGGCAAGAAAAUGGAGGGUUUUUAUGUCCUGGAUGCCAAUUUGACUGAUGGGCAAAAUUGUACGGAUUACUCAAAAAAAAAAUGGUGGAUGGAGAGAAAAAAUGGGAGAAAUUGAUAGUUACUAAACUCAAAAAAGAGCUUAACGAGGCGAUUUAUGGAGUUAAACCGUUCAAGGUUCCAUUAUAAGGGCUACAUUCAACUUACAUAGUAAUAAAUUAUGAACUUGCACAUCGCACUUCAGACAUUGAACGAUUCAUCAAGACAUUGGACGAUUCAUCCAAACCAAAAAAAUCGCUUACCAACCUUUGUAAAGGUCACAAUAGCUAACCUUAACUGGACUGAACCUCAAGUGUCGCAUUCUAGUUACCACGAAAAAAAAAUUUCCUUGUCAUAGGGAUUGGAGACAUUCUUUUAUUUUUCCUCCACAAACAUGAGAAAGUGCGGUUUUCUUCAUAUUUUUAACUGUCACAUAACCGUUGCUAUUUACAAUUACUUUGAAAUGACCUCAUGAGGAAAGGUGGAGGGACAUAGAAUGAAGUGGGGUCAAUUGAUCCUACUUUAAAAAAAAAUUACAAGUUAACUCUGUAUAAUUUAUUAAAAAUACAAUUUUGACUAUACAAAAAUUAAUAAUUUAUCUUUAAAAUAUAUCAUAAAUACAAUUUUAAUCUCACAAAAAAUUAUUAUUGCGAAUUUAAUCCCACAAAAAUUAUUUUUUGACUCCGCCCAGCUCAUAAGCAAUCUUCCAGUCGCUGGUUACAGAGAAUGAGACCUUUCCCUAUUCUCUCCAGACCAAACUCUCUUCCCGCCAAAACCACCUCCAUUUUCAAAGACGCCCUCUCUUAUGAUCAACCCUCCCCUGAAUCCCACUUCAUCUCUCUCAUCCACGCCUCCAAAACCCCCCAACAUCUCUAACAAAUCCACGCCCAAAUCAUCCUCCACAAUCUCUCUUCAAACAGUCGGAUCACACCCCAUUCAUAUCAUCGUGGGUUUUUGGCAUAAUCAGUCACUCUGCUUUUUAUCAAUCUUUCGCCAAUUUCCGAUGACCCCAACUUGUUUUUUCAAUGCUUUGAUUAGGGGACUUUGCGAAAUUCCAAUUUGAGAGCUCGAUUCGCAUUUUGGUUCUCAUGUUGAAGUCGAAUAUUCAACCUGACAGCUUUACUCUGCUUAUGUUCUUAAAUCUGUUGCAGGAUUGGUUGAUUGUUACCUGGGAGGGUAAUUCAUGGGGUUAUUGUGAAGAUUGGAAUGGAGUUUGAUUCGUUUGUUAGGGUUUCGUUGGUUGAUAUGUAAAAGUUGAGUUAUUGGGUUGUGCUCUACAGGUGUUUGAUGAAAGUCCUGAAAGAAAUAAGCUAGGGAGUAUACUGUUGUGGAAUGUGCUUAUUAAUGGGUGUUGUAAAGUGGGUGACUAAAGAAAGGCAACAGAGCUAUUCGAGGCAAUGCCGAAGAGGAAUGUUGGGUCUUGGAAUAGUUUGUUAAUGGGGUUUAAUGAGCGAUGGUGAGUAUAACGAGCUAGGGAGCUUUUUGAUCGUAAUGGCCAGAGAAAUUUUG
rnacentral:lncRNA from 1 species